rnacentral:rRNA from 1 species
UACGUAGGGUGCAAGCGUUAAUUCGGAAUUACUGGGCGUAAAGCGUGCGCAGGCGGUUAUGCAAGACAGAUGUGAAAUCCCCGGGCCUCAACCUGGGAACUGCAUUUGUGACUGCAUAGCUAGAGUACGGUAGAGGGGGAUGGAAUUCCGCGUGUAGCAGUGAAAUGCGUAGAUAUGCGGAGGAACACCGAGUGGCGAAGGCAGGUCUCUGGGCCACAUACUGGACGCUGAAGAAGACGAAAGCAUGGGGAGCGAACAGG